AUAAAAUGUCGACAUUAGCAGGACAGUGGCCAUGGAAGCUGGAAUCUAUUUGGGAGUGUAUAAUAAUUCACCUGCCAAAUUAGGGAGCCCUGAAAAUGGAUGUCGUCAGA
rnacentral:ncRNA from 1 species